rnacentral:miRNA from 1 species
CUAUGCUAGGGCUGCUGGGCCCUAAAGGAAGGCAGCAUGAUGUUGUGGGCAAAGGACUGGACUCGGAGUCAGAAGCCCUGA